UUAGGAAUAUUGGACAAUGGGCGCAAGCCUGAUCCAGCCAUGCCGCGUGAACGAUGAAGGCCUUCGGGUUGUAAAGUUCUUUAGCCGAUGAUUAUAAUGACUGUAGUCGGAAAAUAAGCCCCGGCUAACUUCGUGCCAGCAGCCGCGGUAAUACGAAGGGGGCGAGCGUUGUUCGGAAUCACUGGGCGUAAAGCGUGCGUAGGCUGUUUUGCAAGUUGGAAGUGAAAUCCCAAGGCUUAACCUUGGAAUUGCUUUCAAAACUGCAAGACUCGAAUUCGGGAGAGGAUAGCGGAAUUUCCAGUGUAGUAGUGAAAUACGUAGAUAUUGGAAGGAACACCAGUGGCGUAAGCGGCUAUCUGGACCGACAUUGACGCUGAGGCACGAAAGCGUGGGGAUCAAACAG
rnacentral:rRNA from 1 species